GCAGGAGCUGGGCUGUUUUUCCAGAUAGGAAUUUGGUACACCACCCCCUAAAGAUAGCAACAUUCUGAGCUCUGUGUCUCCUUCCUCUGCUUUCUGUCUAUCCCAGGCAGCUGUUUGAUACACACUGACUUAGCGACAAGCUCCCGGUUCUGUGGCUCUGUGUUCACAAACCUUGUCUUCCUGAUGAGAAGAGAAGUCCUUCAAGAGGUCAGAAUGGGGACAGCCUGUUCUGAGUCUACGCUGUGCCCGCUCAGUGUGUGAUUCCGAACAGCUUUGGUAAAACUGCAGCACAAUGUGUCAAAUAUUCCCUGGCAUCGAAAUAUUCUCAAGAUAACUGAUGGAAAGAAAAAAAAAAAAAAAAACCAACCCGCCACUUUCUGGAACUAAACACUGCUCUUCACCAACCAGAACAAGCGAGACUGGCAUAUUUUAAGCUGUGCCACUUGGCGUCUGGUCUACGGGAGUUGGUGCCGCUGCCUCGUGAGUGGCAGAAGAACGAUGCCAGUCUGAAGGUCACGGGCUUCUCUCUGCUGUGCAUGAUGUAAUUUCUUCCACUUUUAUUUCUGGAGCACCCCCGCUUACACUAUGAGAAAUAAUCUAAUCAUAGCAAAUCCAUAUCGUCAGAUAGUUCUUAGCAGAGUAAGGUUGACUCACGAAUAGUUUAAGAAAUAACUUUGAUAAUAUUUGCAAAAGACCGAGCUUUGACGGGAAAAUCUCUGAUUCAUUUUGUUUCCUAUUUGACCUUCUUGCAAAAUCACCAAGAAAACCAGAUUUUUGUUUCAGGGAAAGGCCAUUUGGCUAUUUUCCUCAGACCUGUGUGUUCAAAUCUAAUUUGGUCCAACCCAAAGGAUGUAGGAAGUUAAUAAUCAUUAACCCAAAUGCUUAUCUAUAAUGCUGCUGUGAACAACGCUUAAACUUCCCUUUGCUCAGAAUUCCCAUUGGAAGUACAACGCCCCCUCACCACCUCUGUGGUUAUUCCUUCUCAGAACAUUCUCCCACAUAACAAUUGUUUCCCAAUGUAAGAUGUGUACCUGCGAUUGUGCCAAGGUCUGUGGAGCCCAUACAAGCAGAUGAAACACAUCCAGCCCUCACUGGGUUUUCAUUUCACCUGGAGAAGGAAAACAAGCCUGUGUAUUGCCUAUAGCCAAUGGCCAAACAUUAGUCAUGUUGAGAUGGCAAGUUGAGACAGAGAAAAAAAUGGCCUCAGUUCUUGGGUAGCAUUUGAAGUAGAGGUUGUCAGGGAUGUGUUUGAGAGCUUUAUAGAAUGUCUUAUAGAAUCCAGGAUUCCCCUGUGUAAGGAAUGGUGCCACCCACAGUGGGUGUUUUUCUACAUCAAUUAACAGUCAAGGCAAUGCCCCACAGUCAUGCCCAGAAUCCAGCCUGAUCUAGGCAGCCCCUCACUGGGACAUUCUUCCUGGGUGAUUUGAUUCUAUGUUGGGUCAAGUUGACAAUUAAAGCUGACAUCACAGGGGGUAUCACAUGGUUCAGAGAAUGAAAUGAGAGGUUGCAUUCAGAUCGUGGUGGUAGAAAUGGAGUCAGUCUAUGGAGAAGACUUGCGGAAAAUGAAGACUAGAUAGGAUGUGACCCCUUGAAUGGAUGAAGAUCAGAUAUAGCACUUCCAUUUUAAGACCAAAACCUACAAAAGCUCAAAUGAGAGGUUAAACGGAUUCAGGAAAGAAAUGGUAGGUUCUCACUGGGAGUUUGAGGUGCCGUGGAUGAGCCAGAGGUUGACUCCAUGCGUACCUCCAUCAGGGAGACAAUAUUGAGAGAAAACAACACCUCGGAGAAAUGAUGGAAGAGAAAGUUCUAGGGAAGAUUUGGAAAACUUGGCUGCUUAUUAUUUGGAUGUGGUUGUACCCACUAAAAGUCACAUUGAAAUUGGGUUCCCAACAGCGCUUGGAGGGUGGUGGACCUCAGAAAUGAGUUAAUGACUUACUUAAGAAACUAUGUUGAGGUCCUCGGGUCUCACAGAACCAAACCAGUAACAGGGAGAGUGGUGGUUACAAGGCUACACCAUUGUCUUUCACCUCUUACACACACAUACACACCUGCUUAUUGUUCUGACAUGUGAUGUCAUAUACAUGCACACCUGCUUAACAUUCUGACAUAUGUCAUAUACACACACACACACAUACCUACUUACCAUUGACAUGUGAUGUCAUAUCCACACGCACCUACUUACCAUACUGACAUAUGAUGUCAUCCACAUACAUACCUGCUUACCAUACUGACAUAUGAUGUCAGCACACAUACACCGACCUACCAUACUAACAUAUGAUGUCAUAGCCACACACAUACCUGCUUACCAUUCUUCUAUAUGAUGUCAUAUCCCCAUGUACCCACUUACCAUUCUGCCAUGUGAUGUCACAGGUGCCAUGACACACCAGGCACUGAGAGGAAACUAGCACUGUGCCCUUGGACUUCUAGAAUUGUGAUCUAAAUAAAAACAUUUUCUCUCUAUACAUCCCUCAAUCUCAGGUAUCCUGCUACAGCAACAGGAUACUAGCUAUAACAUAUCUGUGACAGGGGUGCCUGAGUAUGGCUCUCCUUCCAUUAUCUUACUCUUUCCCAGCCCAGUUCGGUACCAACUAGACUCUAGCACUUUCCAUACAUAGUCACAUCUCUGAGUCUCCUGUGCCCCCUCCACAGGACACACUCGGAGGGUUGACGAGGGGGGGAUGCAUGGCUGAAAUAUCAGCACAUGUUCUAGCUGUGCUUCCUCAGAUUCAUCCACACAAGUAUUCAUAUAACCUCUAAUGAGUGUUUAAAAUUUUAUUAAAUCCUUAGACACAACUGGGGAGAACUAUGAUGUAGAAAAGAAGAUUGAUGUCUGUGUGCUAAAUAGGAUUAGUAGAUCCCAGAAGAGAAGAAGGGCAUCACAGGGCGCGUGCAUCUUCUUGACUUGAGGCCCACACACCCCCCUCACACACAUCCUUACAGAAGCCCAUCCACUGUUCAUUUGCUGUUCAGAGCUCCACAUUUCAUCUCCAUCCUGGACUCAGUGGGGCCUCUGGCACUGAGCUAUGUCCUUUCUUCAUACAGGCACACAAUCCAGGAAACAAUUACUAAUGGUACCUCCAAGGGCCCUGGUCAGUUAUUCCUGUCAACCUGACAUAACCCUGGGUCACCUCGGAAGAGGGAGCCUCAAAUGAAGAAUUGCUUUGAUCACACUGGGCUGUAGUCACGUCUAUGAAAGACUGUCUUGAUUGAUGUGGGGGCCUCAACUACUGUUGGUGGCACCAUCCCUAGCAAGGUGGUGCUGGGCUGUAUAAGACAGCUGGUUGGUCAUGAGCCAGUGAGGGAGCCAGUAAACUUCAUUCUUCCAUGGUUUCUGUUUCAGAUCCUGCCUUGAAUUCCCUCAGUGACAGGCUGUGACCUGGAAGUAUAUGUCAAAUAAAAACUUUCUUCCCCUAACAGAAAGUAAACUAGAACACCAAGUAUGAGCUAGUCCAGAUGACAAAGCAGAGGUCUGGGAGAAGGUCUGUAGAUGACUUUCCAGUAAACACUCAGCAUUCAGCUGCAUCCUCUGAACUGCCCCUGGACGCCACAAAAGCAGCAGCUCCACACUUCACGUUAAUCAGGGUUCUUCAUAGUAACAGGACAGAAUAAAUAUACUAUUACAAGGGAGCUGGUUGGGCCAUCUAACAGUACCAGAUGGUAAUCUGACAGUGGCCAGGGAGGCUAAGAACUCAUUUCUUAGAGCUGGAUAAUUUGACAGUCGAAAUAUAAAGGCCUGGAGAAUUCUUGCAGA